rnacentral:rRNA from 1 species
UACGUAGGCAGCAAGCGUUGUUCGGAAUUACUGGGCGUAAAGAGUGUGUAGGCGGUGCUCUAAGUUCGGUGUGAAAUCUCCCGGCUCAACUGGGAGGGUGCGCCGAAAACUGGAGUGCUGGAGCGCGGGAGAGGAAAGCGGAAUUCCUGGUGUAGCGGUGAAAUGCGUAGAUAUCAGGAGGAACACCGGCGGUGUAGACGGCUUUCUGGACCGUAGCUGACGCUGAGACACGAAAGCGUGGGGAGCGAACAGG